rnacentral:rRNA from 1 species
AUUGAACGCUGGCGGCAGGCCUAACACAUGCAAGUCGAGCGAGCGGCGGACGGGUGAGUACUGUAUGGGGACUGCCCGUUAGAGGGGGAUAACUACUGGAAACGGUAGUUAAUACCGCAUACUAUCGGAUAACCCAUAUGGGAUUAGCUAGUAGGUGAGGUAAUGGCUCACCUGGGCGACGAUCCCUAGCUGGUCUGAGAGGAUGAUCAGCCACACUGGGACUGAGACACGGCCCAGACUCCUACGGAGGCAGAAGUGGGGAAUAUUGCGCAAUGGGCGCAAGCCUGAUACAGCCAUGCCGCGUGUAUGAAGAAGGCCCUAGGGUUGUAAAGUACUUUCAGUCGGGAGGCGUUACCGACAGAAGAAGCACCGGCUAACUCCGUGCCAGCAGCCGCGGUAAUUC